AGGUUUUUACAGAUUGAGCAAAAGUUUAUUUACAAACAAACGAGCAACAAAAACGGAAUCCUUAAUUGAAAAUACAGUGAAGUCCAUGUUGUGUCACUA